UACGUAGGGACCGAGCGUUGUCCGGAAUCAUUGGGCGUAAAGGGCGCGUAGGCGGCCUUCUAAGUCGAACGUGAAAUCCCCGGGCUCAACCCGGGAACUGCGUCCGAUACUGGAAGGCUUGAAUUCGGGAGAGGGAUGCGGAAUUCCAGGUGUAGCGGUGAAAUGCGUAGAUAUCUGGAGGAACACCGGUGGCGAAGGCGGCAUCCUGGACCGGCAUUGACGCUGAGGCGCGAAAGCCAGGGGAGCAAACGGG
rnacentral:rRNA from 1 species